UACGGAAGGGGCUAGCGUUGUUCGGAAUUACUGGGCGUAAAGCGCGCGAAGGCGGCUUAUCAAGUUAGGUGUGAAAGCCCUGGGCUCAACCCGGGAACUGCACUUAAGACUGGUGGGCUAGGGUCCGGGAGAGGGUGGUGGAAUUCCCAGUGUAGAGGUGAAAUUCGUAGAUAUUGGGAGGAACACCGGUGGCGAAAGCGGCCCCCUGGCCCGGUACCGACGCUCAAGUGCGAAAGCGUGGGGAGCCAACAGG
rnacentral:rRNA from 1 species